GGCCGCGCCUGCACCUGGGCCGCCCCGCAGCUCAGUGGCGGGGCUGGUGCGGGGCGCCGGGAGCCUGGGGCUGUGCUCGCCUGGUCUCGGGGAAGCUGCUCCCUUAGGGGCGGAACUCCAACCGAAAGGGAAAGGACUGUGGCCUGACACUGGUGAGGACUUCCCGGCCUGGGUCUCGGGCUCCCGCGGAGCAGGGGAGCUCCGGGUUCCGGACCUCAGUUUGGGGAAUAAUGGGGAGGGUGCCCGCGGCAAACCUCUCAGGCCCCCUUCGGCAGCCUCCGCAGUAAAAGCAGCCACGCACACCCCUGCACGGUGCCCCCUCGCCUGGGACCUCUCCACGCCAUCUCCCUCCUCGGAAUGAUUGGAAUCCGGACAAGGACGGCUGCAGAUUCCUGAGGGCCUGAGGCAGAGAGAGCAACAGGUGAGGAGCCGCAGCAGGACUCACUCAUGAGGUCCAGGGCUCCCCCUCCCCCUGACAGCUGCUCUGGGUGCUCAGAACCGGCCAUUCUCCCCUGGAAGCUGAGCAGAGCCUCCUGGGAAGACAAAGACCCAUUGUCCUCGGCUCAACCCAGGUCUGUGACCGAGGUCCCACUACUCCAGGCCUGGAGGCUCAGCUAUUUCGGUCCCAAAUGGCACUCCAGUUCAGGCUUGGGAGUCUCUUGCGUCCCACUGGUCAGCACUGGGAGCAGUGGUCCCUGGGACUGAGAGUGAGAUCCGGGCCAGGCCUACCGUGUGGGUGUUGGGCCAUGUCAUGACAUGUCAGGCUCCUGGGCUGUCGGGUGGUUGCCUUAUAAAAGUGCUGCCCGCAGGGCUGCGUGACAGGCAGGCUGUUGCUCUGCGGGAGCAUGCUGGGGCUUGCGGCAGAUAAGAUUAGGGGCCACGUGGAAGUGCGUCGUACAGAGCGGUGGCAUGCCUUACUCACUGAUGUUCUCAUUCAUUCUGCGCAUAUCUGCCCAGCAUUCACUGUGUGCCGGGCUCUGUGCUAGGGGCUGAGUGUUCAGGGUUGAGCCACACAGACACGGGCUCCGCUGUCGUAAAGUCUGCAAAUGAAUGGGGAGACAGACAAAUGAAUGAGCAGAGAUACCAAGGAAUCACUCCACAGUGUGCAGUGCUGUGAAGAUGUGCACAUGGCCUGGGAGCCUGGAGCAUGGAGGUGGCCCGGGAGGUCUCAGAGAGAUGACAUCUGAGCUGAGACCUGCAGGCCGAGGAGGCAGCCACUCCUGGAGCCCAGGCCGGGCACAAGUUGGCCUGUUUGAGAAACAAAAGAAAACCCAGAGUGGCUGCACCACAGUGAACAAGGGGGCGGAGGAGCAAGAGGGGCUGGGAGGUGGGCUGGGGCCCAUCAGGCAGGGCCCCGAGGCCAGCAGCAAGCAGCUGGAAUGACUGCGGAGAGAUUUCACAAGCGCAACAGCCCACUCGGCUGCUCUGCAGAUUACAAGGCCAACGUGGAGUCAGAGAGGCCAGGGAGGAGCCCAUUGUAAGACUAGAGACGCUGAGGCUUGAAGGAGGCUGGUGGCCACGGAAAUCAAGAGAAGCGGGCCUAUUCAAGACCUGUUCUGAAGGUGGGACUCAGUGCUUGCUGAAGGAUCAGCUGUGGAGGGCGAGAGAGCGGAGAAGUACAGGAGGACUUCUGGGUGUCUAGGCCGCUGGGUGCAGAUUCUCUGCUCCUCCCACAAGAGGCGGACACUGUUUUCCUCCCUGGAACCUCAGCAGGCUGGGGGUGCGCUUGGACCAUGGAGUACUGAGUACCCAGUACCAUAUGCCCCAUGCUGAUUUCCAGCUCAGACAUGUCCAGAGGGAGGGGGACUGAGCCUAGGGAGGCUCCCGUACUGGAAGUUGGGCAGAGAGGAGGAAUGAUACAUAGACCGAGCUCUGUAAUGUCUGUGUAUCAUGGGUACUUUGGGGCCAGCUGAGCAGGAGGAAGGAGGAAGGCAGGCGAGAGAGCUGUCAGGAGCCAGGAGGAGAGAGAGGUGUUUCAAGGAAAGAGUGUUGGCCUGUGUGAAAUAUUGCCCAAUGGUUGGACAGAGAAGUGUCCAGUAGAUUUGGCAACAAGGAGACUGGGGCCACCUUGAUGAGAGCCUUGUGAGUGGCAGAGUGAAUACGGAAGCUGGAUUGGAAUGGCUGGACAAGCACACGGGAGCUAAUGAAUGGGAGGGAGCAACCACAGGAACUUUUCAGGAAGUUUCAGUGCAAAGGGACGCAGAGAAAUGGGGCAUUGGCUGGGAAUAGACGGGUCGAGAGAGGGUUUUGUCCAAAUAUGAGGAUAUGAAAUUGGGUCUCUGUGUUGAUGACAGUGACCUGUAGGAGGGGGAGGAACUGACUCUGCGGAGGGAGGGGCUACACAGGAGCAAUGUCCUUGGUAAAGAUGGGGGUAACCAGAGCACAGGAAGACAGAGCAGGCCUUUGAUAGAAGUGAGACAAAGUGACAGGGGUGGGGAGAGGGGGGAUGGAGAAGAUGGAGGAUCAGGGACCAGGGGUGACAUCCUUUUCACAACCAAGGCCCCUAGAGAAACAGCAGGGUGGCCUGAGGGUGGAGUGACCAUGCGAAGUUGCUGACGAUGAAUCUGUAAUGACUCUGGUCUGCCAGUUUGUGUGAUGGCUUCCCGAGGUCACACGGCUUAGGGGCAGAACGGGAUCUGGAGCCCAAGCCCUGAACUUGCCUCUGCAGAGGCUGAAAUCCUCAGGUCCAAACGGACUCUCACACUGGGCAGUGUGUGUGGUCCUCAGGUGUCGGUGAGCCUGGGGAAGUGUAGGAAACAGAAACACAGCUUUCCCUGCUCUGUAAUGUCUGUGUAUCAUGGGUACUUUGGGGCCAGUUGAACACAAAGGGCCCUUAAGUGCUGCUUCCUUGUGAAGUCUAUUUGCUGAACAAUGACACCAUUCCCCCAUCUCCAUCAAUGACACCAUUCCCCCGUCUCCAUCGAUGACACCAUUCCCCUGUCUCCAUCGAUGACACCAUUCCCCGUCUCCAUCGAUGACACCAUUCCCCGUCUCCAUCAAUGACACCAUUCCCCCGUCUCCAUCGAUGACACCAUUCCCCCGUCUCCAUCAAUGACACCAUUCCCCCGUCUCCAUCAAUGACACCAUUCCCCGUCUCCAUCAAUGACACCAUUUCCCCGUCUCCAUCGAUGACACCAUUUCCCCGUCUCCAUCAAUGAUACCAUUCCCCGUCUCCAUCAAUGACACCAUUCCCCGUCUCCAUCAAUGACACCAUUCCCCCGUCUCCAUCGAUAUCUAAAUGGCUAGUUUCUUCCAACCCCAGGCCAGGAAUGCUGGGAUAUUUGGAGCUAAUGGCUGCCUUCCUUCAAUUCAGUAUCACUUUCGCUAAAGAAACUGCCCCCAGGAAUCGUAAGCUUGGUGUUAUCAGCAGCAAACAUCUUAGAAAACUGGUAGCAUCUUCCAGUGACUGUUUACAGAUAUAUUUCCAAGUCCUGAUCUUCCCAGCCAGGGAUGUUAAUAAACAGGUCUUGGAACAUACAGGAAGCUCUUCCAUGGCUUCAAGCACGUUUUACACUUUUACCUUUGAAUCCCUAAGCAGGAAGUGAUAAGAUCCCAAUAGUUGAAAUUGCCAGAGGGACAGGGGAGAGGGUGGAGGUAGAAGAGGGUGAAGGGGGAUAAAUGGUGAUGGAAGGAGACUGGACUUGGGGUGAUAAACACACAAUGCAAUACACAGAUGAUGUAUUGUAGAACUGUGCACCUGAAACCUAUAUAAUUUUAUUAACCAAUGUCACCCCAAUAAAUAUUAAAAUAAAAAAGACCCCAAUAGUUGGAUGACUACUAAUCCAAUAGACACUUUUAAGAGCUGGAUCCUCAGGGGGAAAUACUGUAAUGUGACUUCAGUGGUUGCAAUGGGUUGAAUCCCCCCAAAAAGGUAUGCCCGUGUCCUAAUCCCUGGAACCUAUGAAUGUUACCUUAUUUGGAAAGAGUCCUUGCAGAUGUAAUUAAGGAUCUGUGGGUAGGCCCCAGAUCCACUGACAAGUGUCCUUGUAAGGGACACACAGGGGACACAGAGGAGGAGGAGGUCCAGUGACCACAGAUGCAGAGAUUGGAGUGAUGCGGCCACAAGCCAAGGAACACCUGGAGCCACCAGAAGCUGGAGGAGGCAAGAAACAGAUCCUCCUCUAGGGCCUCCAGAGAGAGAACAGCCCUGUAUAAACACCUUGAUUUUGAACUUCUGGCCUCCAGAACUAUGAAAAAAUAAAUUUCUGUUGCUUUAAGUAGCCAAGUUUACUAAAAAGAGUUGGUUCUGAAUUCAAUUUACUGAA